GACGGAAGGUGCAAGCGUUGCUCGGAAUCACUGGGCGUAAAGGGUGCGUAGGCGGCUUGGUGGGUCUGGUGUGAAAGCCCCGGGCUCAGCCCGGGAAGGGCGCUAGAAACUGCCGAGCUCGAGUGCCGGAGGGGAGAGUGGAAUUCCUGGUGUAGCGGUGAAAUGCGUAGAUAUCGGAAGGAACACCAGUGGCGAAGGCGGCCGUCUGGGCCAAUACUGACGCUGAGGCACGAAAGCAUGGGUAGCGAACAGG
rnacentral:rRNA from 1 species